rnacentral:rRNA from 1 species
AGCGAACGCUGGCGGCAGGCCUAAUACAUGCAAGUCGAACGGAUCCUUCGGGAUUAGUGGCGGACGGGUGAGUAACACGUGGGAACGUGCCCUUUGGUUCGGAACAACUCAGGGAAACCUGAGCUAAUACCGGAUAAGCCCUCGGGGAAGGAUUAUCGCCAUUGGAGCGGCCCGCGUCUGAUUAGCUAGUUGGUGGGGUAAAGGACCUACCAAGGCGACGAUCAGUAGCUGGUCUGAGAGGAUGAUCAGCCACACUGGGACUGAGACACGGCCCAGACUCCUACGGGAGGCAGCAGUAGGGAAUCUUGCGCAAUGGGCGGAAAGCCUGACGCAGCCAUGCCGCGUGAAUGAUGAAGGUCUUAGGA